rfam:Aedes aegypti strain Liverpool supercont1.786 genomic scaffold, whole genome shotgun sequence.
CCUCUCAUGGAGUAGUGGUAACGCGCCCCAACUAGAGAUCGGGGAGUCGUGAGUUCGAUUCUCACUGAGAAGA